GAUGAACGCUAGCUACAGGCUUAACACAUGCAAGUCGAGGGGUAACGAGAGGGAAGCUUGCUUUCCUUGUCGACGACCGGCGCACGGGUGAGUAACGCGUAUCCAACCUGCCCCCAACUAAGGAAUAACCUUGCGAAAGUAAGACUAAUACCUUAUAAUUUCCUCAGAUGACAUCUGACGAGGAAUAAAGAUUUAUCGGUUGUGGAUGGGGAUGCGUCUGAUUAGCUUGUUGGCGGGGUAACGGCCCACCAAGGCAACGAUCAGUAGGGGUUCUGAGAGGAAGGUCCCCCACAUUGGAACUGAGACACGGUCCAAACUCCUACGGGAGGCAGCAGUGAGGAAUAUUGGUCAGUGGCGGAAGCCUGAACCAGCCAAGUAGCGUGCAGGAUGACGGCCCUAUGGGUUGUAAACUGCUUUUAUACAGGAAUAAAGUUAGCCACGUGUGGUUAUUUGUAGGUACUGUAUGAAUAAGGACCGGCUAAUUCCGUGCCAGCAGCCGCGGUAA
rnacentral:rRNA from 1 species